UUUUUUUUUUUGACCGUGUUUGGCUUUUUAAGUGAUAAUUUGAAAUAUAUUAAAAUAAUAUUUUUAAAUUUAUUUUUAACAUUAAUAUGAUACAUUAAAAACAUUAAAAAAAUUCAAAUUUUUAACUCCAAUAUCAUUUUUGUGUCCGAUAAAAAAUGUGUUUUAGUCGAAAAUAAAUUAAAAUAAUGUUUUUUUAAGUUUAUUUUUUAUUUUAACAUAUUAAAAUUAAAAAAAUACAGCUGUUUCGCAAUUUCAAAUACCAUCUCGGAAUCUUGGACUUGUGAGACUGAAAAAAGCAUUUUGAUUUUUGAGUCAUUACUUUUGACUCUAGACCUGUAUUGGUAAAGUCGUAAAGAAUAAGAUAAUCGUUUUCUAGCUCUCUAGGUCCCAGCUGGGAGGGGAGGAAACAGGUGGCUUGGACAUAAACUAAGGACGUGCCAAUCUGUCUCAAGUUGAAGGUCGCUGGGAGUUUGCGGUGAUCCUCCUUUUAGUUCCAUCAUGAGGACCUGGUCAUGUAAUUUGAAGGAGGCACAUGCAUGGCAUGUGCACCUGGCUACACGGGUCAGAGAAAAACUCCGAAGGACGGCGUUUUGUAGAGUAUCAAGAUCUAGCUUCGCAUCAACUCUGGCUACCAGAUUAAUCAAAUCAUUAACUGAUGAUUGGUGAGAAAUUAUGGGUCUCCAAAAUCAAGGCUCCUUACCGUCCGGCGUGCCAUCCACUUGUCUUUGCCUCCGGGAAGCAGGGGAGCAUACCGUACAAUGUCAUCAUAAUAAUCUUCGUAAAGAUACUGCGUGCAUGACGCGCCAGCAGGUGCAAUAAUGGUACAGUAACUUCCUCUCUACUCCUGUCGCUAGUCACUACUAGCCCGUGACAACUGACAAGCAUGGAUGCAUUAGGCUGCUUCCUUGCUCUGUUGUUCAUACGUAUGCGGGGAAACAUGCCCAGAAGUGGUUUCAUGGCAUCCCCCUCUUUGAUGCUUUUGUUUGAGAGUUAAAUUAUAACUUAGUCCCUUUACUAUACAAGAAUUGAUUAACUAGUCCUCGUAGUCUUAAAAACUAUGUAUUUAAUCCCUGUAUUAUUAAAUCCAUUUGUUAAUAACUUUUGUCCC